UAGAGAAUCUUCCACAAUGGGCGCAAGCCUGAUGGAGCAACACCGCGUGAGUGAAGAAGGGUUUCGGCUCGUAAAGCUCUGUUGUUAAAGAAGAACACGUAUGAGAGUAACUGUUCAUACGUUGACGGUAUUUAACCAGAAAGUCACGGCUAACUACGUGCCAG
rnacentral:rRNA from 1 species